rnacentral:rRNA from 1 species
UACGGGAGGCAGCAGUGAGGAAUAUUGGUCAAUGGGCGAGAGCCUGAACCAGCCAAGUAGCGUGCAGGAUGACUGCCCUAUGGGUUGUAAACUGCUUUUAUGCGGGAAUAAAGUGGCGUACGUGUACGCUUUUGUAUGUACCGCAUGAAUAAGGACCGGCUAAUUCCGUGCCAGCAGCCGCGGUAAU